rnacentral:tRNA from 1 species
GGGGUCAUAGAUCAGGGGUAGAUCGCAAGCUUCGCAUGCUUGAGGUCCAGGGUUCAAAUCCCUGUGGCUCCA